UACGGGGGGGGCAAGCGUUGUUCGGAAUUACUGGGCGUAAAGGGCUCGUAGGUGGCCAACUAAGUCACACGUGAAAUCCCUCGGCUUAACCGGGGAACUGCGUGUGAUACUGGAUGGCUUGAGUUUGGGAGAGGGAUGCGGAAUUCCAGGUGUAGCGGUGAAAUGCGUAGAUAUCUGGAGGAACACCGGUGGCGAAGGCGACAUCCUGGACCGGUAUUGACGCUGAGUGAGCGAAAGCCAGGGGAGCAAACGGG
rnacentral:rRNA from 1 species